rnacentral:tRNA from 1 species
GGAGAGGUGGCUGAGUGGUCGAAAGCGCCGGUUUGCUAAAUCGGUGAGCCUGUAACAGGGCUCCGCAGGUUCGAAUCCUGUCCUCUCCG